rnacentral:rRNA from 1 species
ACGAACGCUGGCGGCGUGCCUAACACAUGCAAGUCGUGCGAGAAAGUUCCCUUCGGGGAGCGAGUACAGCGGCGCACGGGUGAGUAACACGUAGGUAAUCUGCCUCGUAGUCGGGAAUAACCCGGGGAAACUCGGGCUAAUACCGGAUAAGACCACGAUUGCUUCGGCAGUCGAGGCCAAAGACGGCCACUACACGUAAGCUGUCGCUAUGAGAUGAGCCUGCGGCCCAUUAGCUAGUUGGUGGGGUAAUGGCCUACCAAGGCUGUGAUGGGUAGCUGGUCUGAGAGGAUGAUCAGCCACACUGGGACUGAGACAUGGCCCAGACUCCUACGGGAGGCAGCAGUGGGGAAUAUUGCGCAAUGGGGGAAACUCUGACGCAGCGACGCCGCGUGGGGUGAUGAAGGCCUUCGGGUCGUAAAGCCCUGUCGUAGGGGAAGAACCGGUGGACGGCUAAUACCCGUCUGCCCUGACGGUACCCUACAAGAAAGCACCGGCUAACUCCGUGCCAGCAGCCGCGGUAAUACGGAGGGUGCGAGCGUUGUUCGGAAUUACUGGGCCGUAAAGCGCGUGCAGGCGGCCGACUAAGUCAGGUGUGAAAGCCCGGGGCUCACCUCCGGAAGUGCGCUUGAAACUGGUCGGCUAGAGUACGGGAGAGGGGAAAGCGGAAUUCCUGGUGUAGCGGUGAAAUGCGUAGAUAUCAGGAGGAACACCGGCGGCGAAGGCGGCUUCCUGGACCGAUACUGACGCUGAGACGCGAAAGCGUGGGGAGCAAACAGGAUUAGAUACCCUGGUAGUCCACGCUGUAAAACGAUGGGUACUAGGUUGUCGUGGGUGUUGACCCCUACGGUGCCGCAGCUAACGCAUUAAGUACCCCCGCCUGGGGAUUACGGUCGCAAGAUUAAAACUCAAAGGAAUUGACGGGGGGCCCGCACAAGCGGUGGAGCAUGUGGUUUAAUUCGACGCAACGCGAAGAACCUUACCUGGGUUAGACAAACGGUGGACCGCUCCAGAGAUGGAGCUUUCCCUUCGGGGACUGCCGGUUCAGGUGCUGCAUGGCUGUUGUCAGCUCGUGUCGUGAGAUGUUGGGUUAAGUCCCCGCAACGAGCGCAAACCCUUGUCUCUAGUUGCCAGCAUUUAGUUGGGCACUCUAGAGAGACUGCCGGCGUUAAGCCGGAGGAAGGUGGGGAUGACGUCAAGUCCUCAUGGCCCUUAUGCCCAGGGCUACACACGUGCUACAAUGGUCGGUACAGAGGGCUGCGAAGCCGCAAGGUGAAGCCAAUCCCACAAAAGCCGGCCUCAGUUCGGAUUGGAGUCUGCAACUCGACUCCAUGAAAGUGGAAUCGCUAGUAAUCGCGGAUCAGCACGCCCGCGGUGAAUACGUUUCCCGGGCCUUGUACACACCGCCCGUCACACCAUGGGAGUCUGCUGUACCGGAAGCCGGUGAUCCAACCCGCAAGGGAGGUAGCCGUCCAUGGUAUGGCCGAUGACUGGGGUG